rnacentral:rRNA from 1 species
CAGCAGCCGCGGUAAUACAGAGGGUGCGAGCGUUAAUCGGAUUUACUGGGCGUAAAGCGUGCGUAGGCGGCUUCUUAAGUCGGAUGUGAAAUCCCUGAGCUUAACUUAGGAAUUGCAUUCGAUACUGGGAAGCUAGAGUAUGGGAGAGGAUGGUAGAAUUCCAGGUGUAGCGGUGAAAUGCGUAGAGAUCUGGAGGAAUACCGAUGGCGAAGGCAGCCAUCUGUCCUAAUACUGACGCUGAGGUACGAAAGCAUGGGGAGCAAACAGGAUUAGAUACCCCUGUAGUCCCUGUCUCUUAUAC